UGAGAAUAAAACUAAUUGAAAAAACUCUUAAAAGUUGUGUCGACAGGAACUUUAGAGUCUUAAAAGGUUUGAUAAAAGCCAAUAUGAUUUCACAGCACCACACCCCUAUGACUCUAGAUUUUAUCUACUUAUCAUCAAGUGCAAAAUUCCUGAUUUACCAAUUAGGAUGUAGGUUUGUGAACCUUAUCUAGCAAUAAUGCAGAACCUGAUUCUUUCAUGAUUCCAAGAUGAUAGCCAGCUGGUAACUUGUGUCAGGUCAAGCAACUGUUGACAGCAGAUGGGAGGCUUCACAUGAAUUUUGAGAUAACUUCUACGGGGAGUGCUCACAACUAUACUCGCUCCUACUACAUGAAUGGA
rnacentral:misc_RNA from 1 species